AUGAUAUACUACAGUUUUCACUGCUGUCAUGAAAACACCAAGAUCAAUCAUCUUGAUUUGGUUAUCAGAAAAUGGAACCCGAUGCUAUGGAGCAGAGGCAUGGCUUCAUCCGGUUCCAUGACGAGGCCCCUGUGUGCUAACCGUGAAGACAUGUCGAACAAGUGGGGUGCCGCCAAGUUGAACAAGGUGAAGGAGAAGAACAUGAAAACUCCAUCAUGUUGGUGUGGAGAUGUUUGCAAAGUGAAGGUAUCCACUGACCGCAAGAAGUCAUGGACUGAAGGAAGAAGAUUUUUGUGUGUGUCCCAACUAUGCACAUGA
rnacentral:rRNA from 1 species